UACGUAGGGUGCGAGCGUUGUCCGGAAUUAUUGGGCGUAAAGAGCUCGUAGGUGGCUUGUCACGUCGGGUGUGAAAUCCCAGGGCUUAACUCUGGGUCUGCAUUCGAUACGGGCUGGCUAGGGUCCUUCAGGGGAGACUGGAAUUCCCGGUGUAGCGGUGAAAUGCGCAGAUAUCGGGAGGAACACCAAUGGCGAAGGCAGCUCGCUGGGACGGUACUGACGCUGAGACGCGAAAGCGUGGGGAGCAAACAGG
rnacentral:rRNA from 1 species